rnacentral:rRNA from 1 species
ACACGACUACAUUAGAUACCCGGGUAGUCCUAGCCGUAAACGAUACUCGCUAGGUGUCGGCCACGGUGCGACCGUUGUCGGUGCCGUAGGGAAGCCGUGAAGCGAGCCACCUGGGAAGUACGGCCGCAAGGCUGAAACAUAAAGGAAUUGGCGGGGGAGCACAACAACGGGUGGAGCUUGCGGUUUAAUUGGAUUCAACGCCGGAAAUCUUACCGGGACCGACAGCAACAUGAAGGCCAAGCUGAAGACUUUUGCCGGAUUAGCUG